rnacentral:rRNA from 1 species
UACGUAGGUGGCAAGCGUUGUCCGGAUUUACUGGGCGUAAAGGGCGUGCAGGCGGUUUGUUAAGUGCAGGGUGAAAGCUCCCGGCUCAACUGGGAGAGGUCCUUGCAUACUGGCAAACUCGAGGGAGGCAGAGGAAAGUGGAAUUCCCGGUGUAGUGGUGAUAUGCGUAGAUAUCGGUAGGAACACCUGUGGCGAAGGCGGCUUUCUGGGCCUUACCUGACGCUGAGACGCGAAAGCGUGGGGAGCGAACAGG